GAUGAACGCUAGCGGCAGGCCUAAUACAUGCAAGUCAGACGGGAUUCAGGAGCUUGCUUCUGAUGAGAGUGGCGCACGGGUGCGUAACACGUAUGUAACCUACCUUUAUCAGGGGGAUAGCCUCUCGAAAGAGAGAUUAAGCCCGCAUAAAAUCACAGCACAGCAUUGUGUAAUGAUCAAAUAUUUAUAGGAUAAAGAUGGGCAUGCGGAACAUUAGCUAGAUGGCGGGGUAACGGCCCACCAUGGCGACGAUGUUUAGGGGAUCUGAGAGGAUGGCCCCCCACACUGGUACUGAGACACGGACCAGACUCCUACGGGAGGCAGCAGUAAGGAAUAUUGGUCAAUGGGCGGAAGCCUGAACCAGCCAUGCCGCGUGCAGGAAGACGGCCCUACGGGUUGUAAACUGCUUUUAUACGGGAAUAAACCCAGAUACGUGUAUCUGGCUGAAUGUACUGUAAGAAUAAGGAUCGGCUAACUCCGUG
rnacentral:rRNA from 1 species